CCUACGGGCGGCAGCAGUAGGGAAUAUUGCUCAAUGGGGGAAACCCUGAUGCAGCGACGCCGCGUGGGGGAUGAAGGUUUUCGGAUUGUAAACCUCUGUCAGCAGGGAAGAAAAUGACGGUAUCUAACGAAUAAGCACCGGCUAACUCCGUGCCAGCAGCCGCGGUAAUACGGAGGGUGCAAGCGUUACUCGGAAUCACUGGGCGUAAAGUGCGCGUAGGCGGGAUGGCAAGUCAGAGGUGAAAUCCUAUGGCUUAACCAUGGAACUGCAUUUGAAACUGUUAUUCUGGAGUAUGGGAGAGGUAAGUGGAAUUCUUGGUGUAGGGGUGAAAUCCGUAGAGAUCAAGAGGAAUAC
rnacentral:rRNA from 1 species